rnacentral:rRNA from 1 species
UUUUGUACCCCGUGGCUAAGCAUAUCAAUAAGCGGAGGAAAAGAAACUAACAAGGAUUCCCCUAGUAACUGCGAGUGAAGCGGGAAGAGCUCAAAUUUAAAAUCUGGCGGUCUUUUGGCCGUCCGAGUUGUAUUCUGGAGAAGUGCUUUCCGCGCUGGACCGUGUAUAAGUCUCUUGGAACAGAGCGUCAUAGAGGGUGAGAAUCCCGUCUUUGACACGGACUACCAGUGCUUUGUGAUGCGCUCUCAAAGAGUCGAGUUGUUUGGGAAUGCAGCUCAAAAUGGGUGGUAAAUUCCAUCUAAAGCUAAAUAUUGGCGAGAGACCGAUAGCGAACAAGUACCGUGAGGGAAAGAUGAAAAGCACUUUGGAAAGAGAGUUAAACAGUACGUGAAAUUGUUGAAAGGGAAACGCUUGAAGUCAGUCGCGUUAGCCGGGACUCAGCCUUGCCUUUCGCUUGGUGUAUUUUCCGGUUGACGGGCCAGCAUCGACUUUGACCGCUGGAUAAGGGUUAGGGGAAUGUGGCACCUCCGGGUGUGUUAUAGCCUCUGGUCGUAUACAGUGGUCGGGAUCGAGGACCGCAGCCUUUUGGGCUUAGGAUGCUGGCGUAAUGGCUUUAAACGACCCGUCUUGAAACACGGACCAAGGAGUCUAACAUGCCUGCGAGUGUUUGGGUGGAAAACCCGAGCGCGUAAUGAAAGUGAAAGUUGAGACCUUUGUCGUGAAGGGCAUCGACGCCCGGACCUGAUCUUCGGUGACGGAUCUGCGGUAGAGCAUGUAUGUUGGGACCCGAAAGAUGGUGAACUAUGCCUGAAUAGGGUGAAGCCAGAGGAAACUCUGGUGGAGGCUCGUAGCGAUUCUGACGUGCAAAUCGAUCGUCAAAUUUGGGUAUAGGGGCGAAAGACUAAUCGAACCAUCUAGUAGCUGGUUCCUGCCGAUCUCCCCCCCCGGAGAUAAAAAAGAAAAAAAG